rnacentral:tRNA from 1 species
GCCGGAGUGGCGAAACUGGCAGACGCAACAGACUUAGGAUCUGUUGGGGGUCCUCCCCCGUGAGAGUUCAAAUCUCUUCUCCGGCA